UACGUAGGGGGCAAGCGUUAUCCGGAUUUACUGGGUGUAAAGGGAGCGUAGACGGCGAAACAAGUCUGAAGUGAAAGCCCGGGGCUCAACCCCGGGACUGCUUUGGAAACUGUGUUGCUAGAGUGCUGGAGAGGUAAGCGGAAUUCCUAGUGUAGCGGUGAAAUGCGUAGAUAUUAGGAAGAACACCAGUGGCGAAGGCGGCUUACUGGACGGUAACUGACGUUGAGGCUCGAAAGCGUGGGGAGCAAACAGG
rnacentral:rRNA from 1 species